UACAACUCUCUUCGUCAACACCCCCUACCCUGUUCGGCCGAGCGUGUCAUCGUCGACGCCGGCUCCAACUUCACCUUCUUCUUCCCACGCCUCGGUUGUCCGGAAGAGGCUGGUGGGUCUGCAAUGAGUUCCCGCCACACUACCGCUGCUGAUUUUAUGCUGCUUUCUUUGCUGGUGGAUGCUGCCCUUCUUGCUCACCAAUCUCUUCUUUUACUGAUUUUUCAGGAAAAGACCGCGACCCAAGUAUGAAGACGACAACCCAUCAGUUUUUGCAGUUCAAAACAGUCCCAUUUCGUCUACGGCCAAAGUGGUGACUGAUCAGCCUUCAAUGGUUGAGACCCAAAAAAUAAUAGUUUAAUAAAAUGAAAAGAAAAGAAAAUAGUGUAAUAAAAUAAUAUUUAAUUUGAUAUAGCGGGUGAAGAGCAAAAUUUUGAAAAAUGUUAUAAUGUAACAGGCUGUCAAAUUCAAGUUUUAUGUUUAAAAUUUGAUAUCUCCUUUAGAGAUGUUCUUAGUGUUAAAUAUCUGUUAUGACCUAAUUAUUACGCUUUUUUUAAUCAGACCCAAUUAUUAUCCUUAAAACUUGCACUUUUCACCCUUGGUCAAAUUCAAAAUAUAGAGGAAUGAAAUGUUAUUAUUCUUAUUUCUCAGAAAAAAUAAAAUUAAAUAAAAACCCAGCUAAUGAAAUUGGGUCGUUAAUUGAUGAAGAACUUGACUUGCAGUUGCAUACAAAGGCCUUCACAACAACACAUAUAAAACCUAACUUAACGAAAUAAUUGUACCCUUUUCAGAGUCUUUGACAAGAAAGAUAGAGAUAAUUCUGCUAAAAAUCUGAACCUAACAAUAACUUGUUUUCAAGUUCACCAAACAAUAUUCAUAUCAUGAUCUAAAUAAA